UACGAAGGGGGCUAGCGUUGCUCGGAAUUACUGGGCGUAAAGCGCGCGUAGGCGGGUCGUUAAGUCGGGGGUGAAAUCCUGGAGCUCAACUCCAGAACUGCCUUCGAUACUGGCGAUCUUGAGUCCGGGAGAGGUGAGUGGAACUCCGAGUGUAGAGGUGAAAUUCGUAGAUAUUAGGAAGAACACCAGUGGCGAAGGCGGCUCACUGGUCCGGUACUGACGCUGGGGUGCGAAAGCGUGGGGAGCAAACAGG
rnacentral:rRNA from 1 species